CCUACGGGAGGCUGCAGUGGGGAAUAUUGCACAAUGGGGGAAACCCUGAUGCAGCGACGCCGCGUGAGUGAAGAAGUAAUUCGUUAUGUAAAGCUCUAUCAGCAGGGAAGAAAAUGACGGUACCUGAGUAAGAAGCCCCGGCUAACUACGUGCCAGCAGCCGCGGUAAUACGUAGGGGGCAAGCGUUAUCCGGAUUUACGGGGUGUAACGGGAGCGUAGACGGCAGUGCAAGUCUGGAGUGAAAGGCGGGGGCUCAACCCCCGGACUGCUCUGGAAACUGUACGGCUGGAGUGCAGGAGAGGUAAGUGGAAUUCCUAGUGUAGCGGUGAAAUGCGUAGAUAUUAGGCGGAACACCAGUGGCGAAGGCGGCUUACUGGACUGUAACUGACGUUGAGGCUCGAAAGCGUGGGGAGCAAACAGGAUUAGAUACCCUUGUAGUC
rnacentral:rRNA from 1 species